UUGUAAUGUGACACGUUAAGAUGUCUUCCGUGAAAAUCACAAUUCACAGAUAUUUUUUUAAGUAGCUGUCUUCAGCAUGUUCCUGCAUAAGUGAAUAACAAGCUGCAAGCUGAAAGAGAGGUGGUGUUUGUCCAUAGGACUAUUUACCUCCAUCACCACUUCAAGACUGCCAUGGUUCAUUAUGUCCGGUUUAAGCUGAAGGGAAUGUCAUGACUGUGAUUGCACUUCCCCUCCCUUGCACAAACAAUAAAUAAAUAAUUGAUCGGGGGAAAGAAAAGAGAAGACUUUCUACUUGGUGACUUGGUGGCCACAGUGACGAGGGUGACUGAAAGGUCACACUGAUACAGUUCCUGCAGCAGCUGUGUAUUCUGCUGAAGUUUGCUUGACUCCAAUGGAAAGAUCACCAGUUCAACAUGCUGGUGACAUGUAGAAGCACUGUACUGUACGUAUGUAAUCCAUAUGCACUCACAAACUGUUCAGGAGUAAAUCAAGCUGCAAGCCUUCGGGCGAGACUGCCACGUUGUAUAGUAUCAACUCGAUUUUUGUGUAUGUAGGACUAAAAUCCCUCCCACAAGCUGAAACUCACACC